GAUGAACGCUGGCGGCGUGCCUAAUACAUGCAAGUCGAGCGAACAGACGAGGAGCUUGCUCCUCUGACGUUAGCGGCGGACGGGUGAGUAACACGUGGAUAACCUACCUAUAAGACUGGGAUAACUUCGGGAAACCGGAGCUAAUACCGGAUAAUAUAUUGAACCGCAUGGUUCAAUAGUGAAAGACGGUUUUGCUGUCACUUAUAGAUGGAUCCGCGCCGCAUUAGCUAGUUGGUAAGGUAACGGCUUACCAAGGCAACGAUGCGUAGCCGACCUGAGAGGGUGAUCGGCCACACUGGAACUGAGACACGGUCCAGACUCCUACGGGAGGCAGCAGUAGGGAAUCUGCCGCAAUGGGCGAAAGCCUGACGGAGCAACGCCGCGUGAGUGAUGAAGGUCUUCGGAUCGUAAAACUCUGUUAUUAGGGAAGAACAAAUGUGUAAGUAACUAUGCACGUCUUGACGGUACCUAAUCAGAAAGCCACGGCUAACUACGG
rnacentral:rRNA from 1 species